UACCAGCACCCCGAGUGGUCGGGACGAUUAUUGGGCCUAAAGCAUCCGUAGCCGGCCUUACAAGUCCUCCGUUAAAUCCAGCUGCUUAACAGAUGGGCUGCGGAGGAUACUAUAAGACUAGGAGGCAGGAGAGGCAAGCGGUACUCAGUGGGUAGGGGUAAAAUCCGUUGAUCCAUUGAAGACCACCAGUGGCGAAGGCGGCUUGCCAGAACGCGCUCGACGGUGAGGGAUGAAAGCUGGGGGAGCAGACCGG
rnacentral:rRNA from 1 species